GCUGCACUGCGGGAUGUAAUCCAGCUGCCCUGCAAGAAUGCAGGACCGAGGGUCAGAACCCACCGCGCGAGAGGUGGGAAAAGGUAAACCCCAAGCCCUGCUCUUUGGUGCAGAUGACCAACUGGAAAAUCAGAUCUAUUUGGAGUUCAGGCCCGUGCUCAUCAUUGAUGCUGACCAACAAACCAUCAAGAAACAGAGUUUGCUGCCUGCUUCCUCGGCAUGGCAGAAGCAAGCGGGCAUUUGCUAACACCCAGCAGUCCCUGAACCAUGAGAUCAGAGCUGUGAUGUGUUCCCUGCUGGAGCACAACUGGCAGGAGCCAGACCUCUGUGAUGGAUUUGCUCCUACUGCUGUUAAUGGUGGGAGUGACCCCAGGGUAUGGUGAAGCAGGAAGCCUCUGGGUGUAUCAUUUGGACUUCUGUGUUGAAAAGUGUCUUGCAGGUUCUCCAUAAGCCAAAACCCCCUGCUGAUGGAUGGUUUUCAAGGCUGCCAAAACCACCCUGGAGGUAAAAAAGUGCUUAGUGCAGAUGGUGCCUGUUCCAUGUUAUGGCAAGAUGCAGCCCAUGCAGCUUUCCUCUUGGCUUCUUUGGGAAGGAAAUUCAGCUCCAUGGUAUCCCUGCUUGGCUUCCCAGCCUUAGCCUUUUCAUUCCAAGGCGAUCACACAGCUGGAAAACUAACAUGGAUUGCAUUGCAAGCUCUGAAUCCCAGCUCUGGAGUUUUUUGGGAUCUCCAAAGUGAGGCUGCAGUACUCGCUGGUUUAGGGCAACUCAUCGUUCCCAUCCAUCAGCAUCAUUAUUGCCUUGACAUUGAAAUCUCUCCUGGGUGCCACGUCCUUCAGCCAUGGCAGGUGAAGAUGUGUGCACGGCAAGGCACACAUUGUCAAGCACUGGCACCCAGGGAAGUGGUGAAUCACCAUCCUUGGAGGGAUUUUAAUGAAACUUGUAUAUAUGGCACCUGGGGACAUAGUUUUGUGGUGGGCUUGGCAGUGCCAAAUUAAUGGUUGGACCUUGAUCUUGGAGGUCUUUUCUGACCCAAAUGAUUCUAGGAUUCUCAGACCCUGUGGUGUGCGCCUUGUUUUUGCUUUGCUUUGUGAUUCAGAAAGCAGCUCCUGUGAUUUUCCUGUCCCACUGGAAAGAACUUGUGUUGCAGCAGCUGCUAAUGAAGAAAUAGUGGAAAUAAUUGGGUCAGCUCCUCAGCAGCUGAAACUGCUGCAAAUUUGGUGUCACAACACUGGUCUGCACCAGUAGGAUCCUCCUGAGCAGAUGUAGAGAUGCAGCAUGUCCUGCAGACCAAUUCUCUCUGGCAGCUUUCUGAGGGAAAACAGCACUGGUGCCCAGUUAUUAUUGAUCUACUGAUAUGUAAUUUUUCUGCUUAAAAAAGUUUUCAUUGCAUUAAUUCCAUGGGGAGGUUGAAGGCCCUUGCUGCAUGCAACAAAAUGAAACCUCCCUGAUCAACUCCUUCUGCACCCUCUGCUUAACUGCAAUCCUUAUCACCCCUCUAAACACAGCCUGUUGUAGGAUUUUGGGAAAUUAAAGGAAGUGGAAAGCUUAGAGCAGCAAACCAUCCACUUUAACAGUGGUUACUUGAAGUCCAGAUCCUGUGGACUUAUGGGGCUGAAGGUGAGGACCAACAAGGAAAGCUGCACCAUGCCAGAGAAACACAACUGAGUGUUUCCAUUUCCAUUCCAUGCUGUCACCAAGCAGCUCUCAGGGAAUGUUUUUCACCCUGCUGACAUGUUUAAGCAUGAAAUACUUUGAUGCUUUUACCAGUUUUCCCUAACUAUAUGCAGAUGAAGAAAUCUAUAGCUCUCCCAACUGAUUGCAAAUUCUGCCAGUUUAAAAAUUCAUGCAAUUCAUGCACACCUCUGUCAUUGCAACCUACAUUAUGUCUUGCUUUCAUUACAUAUUCUUUUACUUAAUUGCCAUGGAAUAUAUUAAUAGCCUCUAUAAACUCCUACAGGAAAGCAAGCAAUAGCUUAGUGCAGAGGUUUUGGGGGGAAUCUCCUUUAAUUUUCACAUUAAGUCAGAAUCCAGCAUCUCUGACUUCACAUCACCCCAACAGCUGCCUCCUGCCUGCUCCCUUGCAAAGUCUGGGAAUGACCGGGUUAAGUCUUAGUUUAGCGAGGGUGACAGCUCUAAUCUGAGCCUAUACCAGCAUUUUGCUGCUGUCUUCAUUUAUAUAUAUACAUUUACAGGUACAUUAUCAUCUCCCCAUUCAAACCAGCUGAGUUUAACCACGCUCCACAAAAGAAUUCUUUCUCAGUGCAAAACUUGCUUCUCUGACUGGUUUGCAAAGGUGGGCACAACCUUUUACUGAAGACCAAGGUGGGUGCCCAAUUCCAUAAUGAAAGCUGCUAGCAGUGAACUUGGUCUGGCCACUGCCUGUCCCUCUUCACUGUUUCCAGCCCCAGUGCUCCGUGGGCAAUGCUGGGAUGCAGCACAGGCUGCAAACUCAUGAUGUGGCACAGGAUGGCUCGUGGUUAAAGGCUUUCCUCUGUUCUCCAGCACCAAUAUAAAGACAUAUAAACAUCCAUAGUGUGCAAUGUGCUGCAGGAAGGGGACCCAUUCCCCUCUGGGUCCAUGUGUUACACUCUGGGUCCAGUGGUGCCUGAAAUCCCAGCUCCUAAUGGGAAUUGCUACCUGCUAACACUGAGCUCUUCCAUACCACCUUGUGAGGCUGGGCAACCACCUUGAGAGGCUGGGCGUGUGUUUUGAGUUGUCUCAGGUAAGUAUUUGGCAGCCUGGCCCUUUGAGCACUAAGAUUUGAUGUCUGUUGGAGAUGGCCUCGGCUGCCCCGCUGCCAGGACAGCCCUGUCCUUUGGGAUUUCCAGCCUGUGAAAAGUCCUCAAAUCCUGCACUUCACACUAUAUAUUUAUUCACAUGGAGCUGUGAAAUAAAUUCCCCCUCAGUAGGCCUGCACGUUGCAGAAGUGUUUAUUUCAUCCUGACGUGGUGUCUCUGGGAGUUAAAGGAGUUUUAUGAGGGGGACGCAGGCUGGGAUAGCUCCUGUUCUCACCAGCAACCCCAUUUGCCCAUAAUGGUGCUUCUGGGGUCAUCUCUCCUGCCCUGUGCCUGGGGAGAGUUUAACUUUCUGAAGCAAGAUUUUAGGACAGACCUUUCAAGAUGCUAGCCUUCAGUGCUAAAGCUCUGCACUCUUUCCAAGCCCUGUGAUGGCCAUUGUCCCUGCCCCAGCAGCUCCUGGACCUCCACUGGAGAUGCUCUGAAGCUGUAAAUGAGAAAUUAACUGCAAUUACGGAGCAUCACAGGGCAUAAAUACCCUCUAAAUCCUCUUUAAUUACAUGGUAGCACUUAAUUACAUGGCAACAAGAAUGUAAGCACAAAAAUAAAUAUGAUUUCAGUUUUAUCUUCAGCAGAGGCACUGGUAAUUAAUUUUGGAGGGUAAUGCAGGACCUGCAUGAUGUGAACUCCACUAACACAGUACUGCAAAGGUGCUGCUGCCCAGGACAGACAAACCUCCCUUCUCCCUCUCCAACAGCCACGACUUUGUCACGUCUUCCCAUUCCCCACUCAG